GAUGAACGUUGGCGGCGUGCCUAAUACAUGCAAGUCGAGCGAACAGACGAGGAGCUUGCUCCUCUGACGUAAGCGGCGGACGGGUGAGUAACACGUGGAUAACCUACCUAUAAGACUGGGAUAACUUCGGGAAACCGGAGCUAAUACCGGAUAAUAUAUUGAACCGCAUGGUUCAAUAGUGAAAGACGGUUUUGCUGUCACUUAUAGAUGGAUCCGCGCCGCAUUAGCUAGUUGGUAAGGUAACGGCUUACCAAGGCGACGAUGCGUAGCCGACCUGAGAGGGUGAUCGGCCACACUGGAACUGAGACACGGUCCAGACUCCUACGGGAGGCAGCAGUAGGGAAUCUUCCGCAAUGGGCGAAAGCCUGACGGAGCAACGCCGCGUGAGUGAUGAAGGUCUUCGGAUCGUAAAACUCUGUUAUUAGGGAAGAACAAAUGUGUAAGUAACUAUGCACGUCUUGACGGUACCUAAUCAGAAAGCCACGGCUAACUACGUG
rnacentral:rRNA from 1 species